AUUCAGAAUGCAGAAAGAAACUAUAUUACGCUACCGACUCUACUGAUUAUUGAGACAGCAAUUAGUUCGAUAAAAAGUUAAAAAUUUUGAAGAAGACUCUCCGGAAGAUAUCGAUGCAAAAUUCUACCUAUGCAAUCUGUUUAUCAUUCUCUCCAUGUUCAUUUAUACUAGCAUUCACUAUAGCAGAUGCAUAACUACAGUGGACUUGUAAAGAGAUCAAAGUAUCCUGGGGAAAUCUGAAUUAUCUGGAAAUAAAUGUCCAGUGAUGAAAAGUCGGAUAGAUACGACUUAGGAAUGUAAAUUACAAGAAACACGAUCUAUAUAUGGUUGGCGAUGCUUAAGAAAAGAAUUGGGGAAAAUAGAUACCGGAUGAUUAAAACAUUAUAAUACGCCUGUGCCAAGUAUUGCGGAUGUAAAUCACGAAUGUUCGCUGAUGUUUUCUAGAGCCAGAUUUUCACAAGCAGACAAUUCAGUAGUUAUCAAAAAACAAGAUUACCUAUAAGCUAAGGAGAAUACAAAAUUCUGAUCCACUGCUGAAGGGUCGCGAAGUCAGGACAGCCAGAAUUGUUAAUCAGAGUAUAUUAUAACCCAGUUUCAUUCCCAAACAAAAAUUCGGUUUAAUUACAAUUUGAGUACUUUGAGAUGGAUACAAAAAAUUAAGAAAAUAUCAUGGUCAUUGAAGAUAACAAGAACAUUGAUUAUGAAUAAUAAUAGCGCUACAAGAAAAAGUGGUUGAUUGGUCGUGAACUUCGAAUGUUUAUGUCAAAAGAUUCUACAAUACACAUAAGAAAUGUCAAGAUCAUUAAACGAACAAUAUGAUGGAAAAAAGCGUUAUAAAAUUGUAGAAAUGGAACUGAAAUUUUACAUUACUCUCUGACUCGCUGGAUAUAGCACGCAAUUUUGUCUUUUCAAGAAUUAUGAAACUGGAAUACAUCAGAUAUAUGAACAGGAUUAAUGGAUUACU